CGAAAGCCUGACGGAGCAAGACCGCGUGGGGGAGGAAUGCCUUAGGGUUGUAAACCCCUUUUAUCUGGGAAGAACAAAAUGACGGUACCAGAUGAAUAAGCCUCGGCUAACUCCGUGCCAGCAGCCGCGGUAAUACGGAGGAGGCAAGCGUUAUCCGGAAUUAUUGGGCGUAAAGAGUCCGUAGGUGGUUCAUCAAGUCUGCUGUUAAAGCGUGCAGCUCAACUGCAUAUAGGCAGUGGAAACUGAAUAGCUAGAGUGCCGUAGGGGUAGAGGGAAUUCCCGGUGUAGCGGUGAAAUGCGUAGAGAUCGGGAAGAACAUCGGUGGCGAAAGCGCUCUGCUGGGCCGCAACUGACACUCAGGGACGAAAGCUAGGGGAGCG
rnacentral:rRNA from 1 species